rnacentral:rRNA from 1 species
CAGUCGCCGCGGUAAAACGUAGGGUGCAAGCGUUAAUCGGAAUUACUGGGCGUAAAGCGUGCGCAGGCGGUUAUAUAAGACAGAUGUGAAAUCCCCGGGCUCAACCUGGGAACUGCAUUUGUGACUGUAUAGCUAGAGUACGGCAGAGGGGGAUGGAAUUCCGCGUGUAGCAGUGAAAUGCGUAGAUAUGCGGAGGAACACCGAUGGCGAAGGCAAUCCCCUGGGCCUGUACUGACGCUCAUGCACGAAAGCGUGGGGAGCAAACAGGAUUAGAUACCCGUGUAGUCCCUGUCUCUUAUAC